rnacentral:rRNA from 1 species
AACGAACGCUGGCGGCAGGCUCAACACAUGCAAGUCGAGCGCCCCGCAAGGGGAGCGGCAGACGGGUGAGUAACGCGUGGGAAUCUACCGUGCCCUACGGAAUAGCUCCGGGAAACUGGAAUUAAUACCGUAUACGCCCUACGGGGGAAAGAUUUAUCGGGGUAUGAUGAGCCCGCGUUGGAUUAGCUAGUUGGUGGGGUAAAGGCCUACCAAGGCGACGAUCCAUAGCUGGUCUGAGAGGAUGAUCAGCCACAUUGGGACUGAGACACGGCCCAAACUCCUACGGGAGGCAGCAGUGGGGAAUAUUGGACAAUGGGCGCAAGCCUGAUCCAGCCAUGCCGCGUGAGUGAUGAAGGUCUUAGGAUUGUAAAGCUCUUUCACCGGUGAAGAUAAUGACGGUAACCGGAGAAGAAGCCCCGGCUAACUUCGUGCCAGCCGCCGCGGUAACAC